AAGUGGACCAAAUCAGGAACGCC
rnacentral:miRNA from 1 species